UACGUAGGGAGCAAGCGUUGUUCGGAUUUACUGGGCGUAAAGGGCGCGUAGGCGGCGCGGUAAGUCACUUGUGAAAUCUCUGAGCUUAACUCAGAACGGCCAAGUGAUACUGCAGAGCUUGAGUGUGGAAGGGGCAAUCGGAAUUCUUGGUAUAGCGGUGAAAUGCGUAGAUAUCAAGAGGAACACCUGAGGUGAAGCCGGGUUGCUGGGCAAACACUGACGCUGAUGCGCGAAAGCCAGGGGAGCAAACGGG
rnacentral:rRNA from 1 species